rnacentral:rRNA from 1 species
UACAGAGGCCCCAAGCGUUACUGAGAAUCACUGGGUUUAAAGGGUGCGUAGGUGGCGCGUUAAGUUCGUUGUGAAAUCCCUGGGCUCAACCCAGGAAUUGCUUCGAAUACUGGCGUGCUUGAGGCUAGUAGGGGUCACUGGAACUGACGGUGGAGCGGUGAAAUGCGUAGAUAUCGUCAGGAACGCCGAUGGUGAAGACAGGUGACUGGGCGUAGUUCUGGACACUGAUGGCACGAAAGCGUGGGGAGCGAA